rnacentral:lncRNA from 10 species
AUUAGGCCUCCAGAGCUCCAUGCUACCAUGCCCUGGAUUCUCAUUUUUCCUUCUCCUGGAGGUGAUGAACCUACAAAACCUGCCUGAGAACUUUGCAAGAUCAUUCCCAAAAGAAGAAAAGAUUAGACUUUGAAUCUAGAGUUUCUUUUCAUUUUUUUUAUUACCGUUUUGUGGACUCUCCAUAUUAUCACCUUGUAGCCUUUUUAUUUGUUUCAUGUAACAUAUAUUUAGUAGUGCCUACUAUGAACUAGGCAUUCUCAUAAGCAUUUUACCAAUAAAAACCCUCAUAGAAACAGAGAAGGAACUGUUAGUACUCCUGUGGCAGCUGGUAUCACUGUUCUGCCCAGAUCUCUUUAGCCUUUUUAUGUAUACCAUUUCCAAUGAACUUUCAGCCCCAAUAACCAACACUUGCAUGUCAGACAUAGACCUUCCUCCAGUCUGCUGAAACCUGCUUUGUCUGUGUUUAUAAAGAGUCGUUUGGGAAUUUAUGUCUCUGUGGUGUGGCACUGAACCAAUGGCUGAGAGGCAUAGGAGUAUAAACACUUCCGUUCCCUUGUGCCUGAUGAAGAUGGCUUCGAGGUAAGACCUGCACUAUCUCCAAAGCUCCCUGAUGAGAUCAAUCCAAGGUUUUCUUCUGUGGGACUCCUCUUGAAAUCAUAUUCCCUUCUCAUCACUGCUCCACUUCUCCACUCUUCUGUUUUUUCCUGGGAACACUUUCUAACAAAUCCAAGUUUUCAUGUGGAUCAUUGUUUCAGAGUUUGCUUCUGGGGAAUUUUACCUACAUGGAUCCCAAUUUUGCGGUAAAGAAAACGAAAGCCCAGAGAAGUUAAGUAAUUUGCCCAAGGCCACUCAGCUGGUACUUGACAGACUGGAGAUUCUAAUUCUAGCAUUUUGGCUUUGUUUACCCUUGAAGAUUAGGAGGAAAUGAUUGGAAAGCCAACUAGGGCACAGGAAAGAGCCUUCUUUAAGGUAGAUGAUGGGAGGAGGGGGUUUCCUAGGAGUACUGAGGCUGAGGAUUAAAUUGAUUGGGAAGGAUUCUCAAGUUGAAAGCUAUCAUUAUAAAAUGGGAGAUUUUGAGAGUUGACUGGUGGUUGUUAGGAACUGGGGGGAGGGAGAGGUGGGCAUUGCAGUUCAAUGGGUAUAAAGUUUCAGUUAUGCAAGACGAUUAAGUGAUGGAGAUCUGCUGCACAACAUUGUGCCUACAGCUAACAGUGCUGUGUUGUGCACUUGAACUUUUGUUAAGAAGAUAGAUCUCUACGUUAAGUAUUCUUCCCACAAUUUAAACAAAUAAAGAAAGAAAAUAAGAGAGAAUCAUAGCAUUGUGGUUAAGAGCCCAGGCUUUGGGGUGAGACAGACCUGGUAUAAAUUCUGUCUCAGCCACUAUCUAGGUUUUGACUUUGUUCAAAUCACAACCUCUCUCUGGGCUGCUGGUUUUUCUUCUGCAAACUGGGGAUAACAAUUUCUGCCUCACAGGGUUGUAUGAAGUAUUUUACAUUAUGCCUGGCACAUAGCACUAAAUACAUAAUAAGUAUUAUUAAUCCCACCUCUUUGCAAAAGUUAGUGUGCUUAUAUUAAGGUCAGGAAGGUAGAAGUGUAAAACCUGACACAGGGUUGGGAGCAGAACAGAUUCUUUGUAACGCCCAGUUAAUACUCCCUAACACAAUGACUAUAAAUGUUCCUCUACAUUCAUCCUAACAUGCCAUUUGUGAGCUAACCUUGGAAUACAAUUAUUAUGCAUAGCUAUGUUCUGAAAUGGAAGAGGUAUCUAAAGAGCCAAAUAAUAGACCCAUAAAUGAGUGCCUUACAUCUGGCCAAGGAUUACAUAGGCCAUGAUGGAAGUUGAAGAAAUCCUGUUUACACUAGAAAAUCAAGAUUCUCAAAUAUUCAUCAAGCCACUUAAUUAUCCUAGUUGCCAAAUUUAUUGGACAUGAAAGAAAAGAUUCUUGGAAAACAGAUGCUAAGAAGUAUAAUGCACAUUUCCCAGACCAGUUCCUUAUCUGAGGCAACCUGAAAUUCGCAUUUUAUUCUUACUUGCCUUAAUCAUGCACUGAGAGAGUAUGUUUCUAAAGCUCUGGGCGUGAUGCUUGUAGAAUGCAGUUCUAUGGGUGUUAGUUUGCUUCCUUUACUCCUACUCUGUACACCUAGGACUCCUAGAGUGGGUGUGCCCUGGAUGUUAGGAACCCUGGUGGUUUCAGUUGACAUUUAUCCUAAGGUCUGUUAGGUUGAGCCCAUAAAGUCUUCAAAAGAUAUCUUAUAUUGGAUCUUGUCUUAAGAGCCUGGUACAGAAAUGCUUUAAAAAGGACAGAAUGAUAAUCCUUUAGAAAUGCCAAAAAAGUAUUUGGAAAUAAGAUAGGUCAUCAUUAUAUCACCUAAAACCCCUCUAAGAAGCUAACACCAUCCUACAGUAAUUGGAAAGGAACCACAAGAUUACUGUUUCUGUGGUGAAGUAGAAUUAUAUCCUUUGACUCUUUCUCUCAGCCUCUUAAAACUCUAAAAAAAAAAAAACCUUAUAAAAAUGACACAAUUAAAAUGACCUCUCAGUUCCAUUAAUUAUCAUCCAUGGAAUGGAAUUUCUACAGAACAGUAAAUCAAAAGAUUCUGAAUACUAAUUUAUCUUUUGUAAAUUCAGAGUUUGACUUAACAGAAUUGGUAAUAAUUCCUUUGAUUUCUUUGUGCAUCAAGGUAUGUAGCAAGGAAAGAAAUUCAACAAUGAACAUCCCAUAUUUCAUUUAAAGUAAUGGGGAUAAUUCUGAGUUAGUCUGUUAAAGAAACAACACGCACAUUGUUUUAUUUGACAGGCAAAGAGCCAGCCAUAGAAAUUGUAACAUUUUUCAUGCAAAUACUAUUUCAUUAUCUGUAUCUGCCCAGUCUCUUUUAUCUAUACGUUUCCUGGGACCUUCCAAAGAAGAUAGUGUGGAACAGAAUGCAAAUUCAACCAAGAUGAGAUAGAAAUUAUCUGAAAUAAGAUGAAAAUCUAACUAAGGCAAUUAUUAAUUAAAUAAGGUCUAUUCCCAGGAGUCAGCAAACUACAGCUCCAUAGGCCAAAUCUGGCCCUUUUUAUAAAGUUUUAUUAAGACACAGCAACAUCCAUUUGCUUACAUAUGUCUAUGGCUGCCUUCAUGCUAGAAUGGCAGAGUUGAAUAGGUGUGACAGAGAGCAUAUGGCCUGUGAGCCUAAGAUGUUUAUGUAAUCUUUCAAAGAAAACAUCUCCUAGCCCCUGACCUAUGCCAUAUGUCUUAGAGAAUAGCCUUUGUUGAUGGUUUCUAAAGAGUCCUUGGAUGGGUUAAAAUGGAAGGAUGAUAGAUGCCAAUCUCCAAGUUCAUAUUGGAGGUGUUGCUGCCGCUGGAAAAGGGGAAGGGAGAAAGGAGCUACUUAUUCCAAGUGUUUGUACUGUUAGGAAUGUUGGAAAUAAAUUUUCAGUGCCGCAAAAGAAAUAGCCCUCAAACAUGAAUUUUCUCAGCAAGGCAAUUUUACUUCUAUAGAAGGGUGCAUCUCCUGGAUGGAGCAAUGGUGAGAGCACACCUGAACAAGUGAGGGAAAGGGGUUCUUAUCCCUGAUGCAGGUAGCCCCUACUGCUGUGUCAUUCCCCCAUUGGCUAUGGUUGGACCACACAGUCUAAGCUAAUUCUGACUGGCUAUUUUAAAGACAGCAAGGGUAUGAGCCAGAGAGGCAGGGUGAGCAGUUUGGUGGGAAUGAUGGUUACAGAACAGGUGACUCAGGAUGACUAAGAACAGAGUAGGUGACGAAGGGUGACUAAGGUCAGAGCAGGUGAUAGAGGCUAGGAGGGGGUUGUUUACUGAAACUAGGUGCAAGGAGACAUAAAGAAUGAGGAAGUUAAACUUUAUAAUGUAGAACAAAGAACAGGGGAGCUGAACAUACUGAUACAUUGGUUCUUUGGAGAGGAUCUCAGAACUUUAUACUUAACAAUUUACAGGCUAAAACCUUUGGACAGGAAUUUAUUAUUAUUAUCCUACAAUUUCCCCCUUUUCAAUUUUCAUAGUAGUUUCUCUUCAAACUUUUCUAACAGGUCUUGGCUUUGUUGUUCAAUUUAAUCCUAUAAAAGAAAAAACUGAUCUGAAUAAGGUGGAGGAGAGCUAAGGGAAGUUUUAGUAAGUGUUGCUUCUAUAAGUCUUUAUACUAGCCCACGGAUGCAUGGUAUGACACAACACCCAACGAGAACGAGUACACCUACUAAGGCUGCAAGAGAAGAAUUGAGGCUGUGAUUUCUUUCCAUUUACCAAACCAUCCUUUCUAGCCACUCUGAGAAAGAGUUAUCGACUCUAGAAGUUUAGCUAGUUUAUUGGAUAAAGCAGUAAGUCUUUGUAAGGCUCUUGUUAUGCCCCCAGUGGGGGCAGUGUUGUUUGGGAUAAAGGUACAACGCUGAGUUUUAAUCAUAACACCAACACCGCCUUUUGUGGCUAAUAUCAUAUCCAGGGCCAUUUUGUUUCUCCAGGCCAUCUGGCUGGUGAGCCCCAGUUGUUCUGUUAUCCCUUUGACAGCAACCGUGGAAUAAUUAAUAAACCACUGGUGAUCAUAAUAGAUGUAAUUUAUCCAAUCUAUGUUUUUAUUGUCACCCAUGAAAAUGCUGACUUAAAUCCUGCAGCUAUUUGAUCUCGGGCUUUAAAUUCAUCUGGUUCUCCUCAUAGAACUCCAAUAGUGUUUAUAUAAACAUGGGGGUCAAAGGACCCACGUGAGGCACUUCUUUUACAAUUUUUUUUUUAUCAUAUUGACAGAAUGCUAGGGUGAAAGGGAUGGCCAGUUGGACUAGAGCAUGAGUGCUGCUCUAAUUACUUGGCAGAGUACCCAGCAGUAGUCCCCAGCAAUACCACCACACAUCUGCUCGGGGAUGAACAAGGGCAGACUGAUUGGUAAGCUCUUCAAAAGGCCUGGUUUCACUGCACCCUGUUAAGUCUCCAAGGAAUGCUAACUUUUCCCCCUGCCGUGAAAGGCAUGAGGUGAAGUUAACAUCAGGGGCUGGAGGCCGGAUAGUCUUCAGGGCUGACCCGCAGGGCUCUUGACCUCAGGGAACAGCAGUGAAAGAGUCUUGCAUGACUCACCACCCCAGGCUGUGGGGUUCUGGAAGAGAGCUACCACACAGCUCGUGCCCGGUCUGUGAGAGGACCACCCAAGUGGAAAGGGAACAAUUUGGGUCUCUGGCCUGCCUGUCACACAAGUGUAACAGGCGCUUUUGUUUAGCCUGCAAACAGAAUGUUUAAUCCAUUCCAGCCAAGCAUUUGCGUCCUGAUACCCUGUUUCAGUUGCUAUGGUUUGUUUUGAAUCUUUAACCUGUACAACAAUUACUUUGGUUUUAUCAUUGGGUAUAUAACGAGAGAAGGUUUGGUUACCGGAGAACUAAGGAGAGGGAGAAGUGGGUGCAGGAGGUGAGGAGGCGACGAAGUGCAUUGCAAAGGAUCCCAUGGGGUCCUUCCCUGAGACUUCUGCUCCAAUACCAUAGAAACAGCUUAAUGAAGGGGAAGAACUCUGGGGAGCAGCGAUGGUAAUCUGUACUGGAUUACAUUGGUUCAGCUGACAAUGGGGAGGGUUAACUCUUGUAGUAAAAUGAAUAUAUGGUUUUAAGAAACUGCAAGUACUAGUUGGGGUGGUCCAUCCUUGCUCUUCAGUAUUUUACAGAGCAUUGGACCAACUUCGGCAGAGAAGCUCUGCUCUAGGAGGACAAGAUUCCCAGUUCAUACUAGAAUCUUCGUCAAACUCAUCCCAAACUAACCUAUCCCAGUUAACAGAUUUCCAGUCUGAGGAGAGCUAGGAAGGAUAAAGAUACUUUUCUGAAGUGGAGAGUUACCUCUGGUUAGGCAAAUCUCCACAGGGCAUCACAAGGCAAGCAUCAAAAGUAGUAGUUUGGGGUGAACUUGACCUAGUUACAUUACUAAUGAGAGGUCUAGCAAUCGAAGGGGAAAAGAAAGAGAUGCAAUGUAAGAGGAUCAAACCAAGCUUUAGCUUCGUUGGAGUUGGCCCAGGAAUAGCUGCCCAUGAUUCUGGAGGGGGUCGUGUUCUUUUGACCCAGGUGUGAUGAGUCCAUCUUCUUUCUGCUGUUCAAACUGCAGUCUCGGUGGUUAGAAGCACUAGGAAGUGUUCUUCCCAAGCCAGUUCGAGUUUUCCUUCCCUCCAACUUUUGACGAGGAUGUGGUCCUCAGGCUGAUGUUGGUGUACUGGAAACUCUAGGGGUGGCGCGUGUGCUGAAAGACCUUUAGUUCUGAGGGAAGAGAAAGUGGAAGAAAGACCAAGUAUAUAAUUUCUGAGAAACUGAUCAUUUUUUUUUUUAAUGUGGGAAUGUAAUCAGUGGAAUGCAAACAGGGCAACCUGUACAACACUUCAUAAGGGGAUAAGCCAACAUCUCUCCAAGGAGCUUGUUCAGAUUCUCAACAGGGCAAUGGGAAGGCAUCUAGUCCAUGGCAACCGAGUCUCUAAGACUAAUUUGGUUAGGUGGCUUUUUUUAUAGUUUGGUUCAUUCUUUCCACUCUUCCUGAUGAAGGUAGGUGCCAGGGAAUAUGAUAUUUCCAUGUUAUAUCCAGUACCUGGGCUAAUUUCUUAAUGACAUGUGCAGUGAAAUGAGUUGUAUUAUCUGAAUCAAUGUUUUCUAUUAAUCUAAACUUGGGUAUAAUAUUUUCAAAUAAUGCCUUAACUACAUUAUUAGCAGUUGUACUUGAAAAGGAAAUAGCUUCUACCCAAUGAGUAAGGUGAGCUACUAUUACUAAUAAAUACUUUAGACGACCAAUUGGAGGCAUGUCUGUGUAAUCAAUGUGGAUACUUUGGAAUGGCCUUAAGCCUGGACUCCUUCCCCCAAGGGGCAAUCUAUUUAUAGUUUGUUUAUUCAUUUUCUUACAUACUAAGCAACUGUCUGUAACUGGCCAGGGUAUAAAUUCCUAUGCACCCAUAAACUCUGAGGAAUGAAUCACACAUGGCUUGGAGCUCCCAAUGGGUCCCUUGAUGCAGCUGGAACAAGAUUUUUCUCAUAAGGGUUUGGAUAACAUUUCUCUGUGGUCUGGCAAUAUCCAUUUUCCUUGUGAAUUCUCUUCAGCACCUAUUUUUGUUUUUAGAUCAAAGAAAGCCAAACACCAUUUUAUAUUUGACAAUACUUCCUGUAUGAUUUUAUACCAGAUAAGCUAAAUUUCACCUUUAUAUUAGUGUGUUAUUAAUGUUAAACUCAAUUUUAAUAAAACCUUGUAGACAUAUUUAUCCAAUUUUAAUGCCUGACGAUAAGGUAAGAUUUUUAUAGACUCUUUUUAACCCUUUAUAAUUUUUGUUAAAGAGCAGGUUAGUGCUUUAAGAAAAACCUGUUGUGCUUUUAUUUUAAUGUCCAGUUGACAGAAAAACUGGAUGAUACCCCUUUAACUUUAGCCAAUAUGUUUACACACAGAAUUUCCAUUACAGUUAAUGUUUCAAAACUUGCUUAAACCUUUAAAAUAAUUUUUUAACCUUUUAAUGUAGGUAAAAAUCCAUAUUCUUUUGCCUCCUUAUAAUCCUUUUACCAAAAGUAUAUUUUACUUUCCUUACACACCUUGCACAUAAACUGUUUCUUCAAUAGUUUUACAUUCAGGAGGCCUAAUUACUUUUAAAUUAUACAUUUCUUGAACAAAUUUCCUUUUAUAACAUUGUUGAUGACUUUCACAGACAAUCUUUGACAUGCCUUAACCUUCUGACUUGUUGUAAACAUCUCUUCCCAACAACCAGUUAAUUUACUUUAGGACAAGAAUUUACCAUAUAAGAUUCCUUUUACAUAAAUUAUCCUUUUUUAAUGUCAAAGAUGAUAACCGUUCUUUUCCGAAGCAAACUUCCUUUAUGUCUGUGGACUAGAGUGCCUAAGUCUACAUGAUUAGAAAUUAGGAUAAUACACGUUACACUGUUAACUUUUAGCAAAUUUUACUUUUGUUGAUAACCUUUUAAGUUUGGGAUUUUAAUUAUGUGAUAGGUGUACAGCCUAAGAUCUAGAGAGAAGUGCAGACAAGGUCUGGCUUAUUCUAAAAUUUAACUCCAUGUGUCCUAGGUUUUACCUAGCUGCAAAGCAGGCCAGUUGUACAGCUAAGAAAUGGUAGUCUGUCUGGCUAUCUGAUCUUCUAGGUUAUUUCCUUGACUUUAAAAAGAAAGGCUUUUUUGGUGUCCGGGGACAUGGUCAAUAGCUGUUUCUUUUGGCAGCUGAAGGUUAGUUAAUACUUGGGUGAUUAAUUCCUUAUGGACCAAGUCUUGGCAUUUGCUAUUAAUAAGACCUCGUUCAGUCCAAAUUUUUCCAAAUGUAUGAGCCACUCCAAAGGCGUACUUAGAAUCUGUAUAGAUGGUUCCUUCCUGGUUCUGUAAGUCCUUUAAGGCUUGGCUGAGUGCAAACAGCUCACAUGUUUGAGCAGACCAAUUAUUAGGCAAUUUUCCUAACUCUAUUUCUACAAGAGUUUCUCUAUCAAUUACUGAAUACCCAUUGUAUCUUUUUCCCUCUAUCACCUGGGAGGAACCAUCUAUAAAGUGUUGUCCCGUCCUGAAGGGAGUUUCUCCUAGGUCUGGUCGGACCUUUGUAUGGUAAUUAAUUAAAACUAAACAUGUGUGCUCUCUCUUUUGAUAUAGAUCCCCUGUUAGGAAACCUGCUGGGUUAAGUGAAUUAUCAGUGGUUAAUGUUAAAUCAUCUUUUUCUAAGAGAAUAGCCUCAUACUUUAAGAUUCUGGAGUCAGUAAGCCACCUUUCUGCUUUCUGACUUAGGAUAGUUCUGACCUGGUGAGGUGUGUUCACAAUGAGGUUUCCUCCAAAACUUAUUUUUCUACUUUCUUCUGUUAGCAAAGCAGUUGCUGCUACAGAUUGAAUGCAUCUGGGCCAUCCGUGGGUUACUGGCUUAAGGAUUUUUGAUAGGAAGACUACGGGUUGUCAGUGGCCUCCAUGCUUUUGGGUAAGUACUUCUAGGGCUACGCCCUUGUUUACAGUGGCAAAAAGAUGGAAAGGCUGCUUAAGGAGGGUAAAGCUAGGACGGGGGCAGUUACUAAUAGAUGUUUUAAUCUUCCCACCUAUUGGAUUUCUGGUAAUUGCCCAAUGAGGCGGUUUAGCCCGUCUUUCAUGAGCUUUUUGUAUAAGCGUUUUGUUUUUAAGGCAUAAGAGUCUAUCCAUAGAUGACAGUAACUGACUCAUUCUAACAUUUUCUAAGUUCUUGUUUAGUCUCCGGCAGAGGCAAGGAUAUGAUGCCUUCAAUCCAUUCAAACUCAGUUUUCCAUUUGCCUUUGUUAAUUAAAUGACUUGUUCAAAUAUUUGACUAAAUAAAUUUGGAGACUCCAUAAACCCUUGGGAUAAGACUGUCUAUCAGUAUUGCUAUUUUUGACCAGAGUGAGGGUCUUCUCACUGAAAGGCAAAUAGGUCCCGGCUGUCCUCUGCUAAUGGACAAGCCCAGAAGGCAUCUUUUAAAUUUAUUACUGUAAACCAGUGGUGACAGCUUGGGAUCCUACUGAUAAUAGUAUAAGGAUUGGGAACAACAGGGUGUGUAGUUUGGAUUAUUUGAUUAAUAGCUGUAAGGUCUUGUACUGACCAGUAUGACCCAUCUGGCUUCUUUACAGGCAGUAUUGGAGUGUUAUAGGGAGACAUACAGGGUUUCAGAAGCCCAUCACAGAGAAGACCUUCAAUUAUCAAUUAUAUGUUUUAAAUUUACCCUGGCUUUUAAAGGAAUAGGGUACACUGCUUUCGCUUUACUACUUCCCCAGGGGUUUUUAAUUUAACAUGAAUCAGAGGAAUCUGUAACUUUCCUUGAUUCCCAUCUAUUGACCAUACCUUGGGAUAAAUGUGUUCUUCGUCUGCGGUGGUGAGCAAGUUUAGGGAGGGGAGGAAUUUUCCAUGAUUGAUUUGUAGGCCUAAGCCUAAUUCUAGCAUUAAAUCUCUUCCUAAAAGAUUUUUCUCUGCUUCCAGAAUUAACAGGCAUCUAAUAUUAGCUGAUUUGCUUUUAUAUAUGACUUUUGUUCUUUUUCCCAUUUGGGACAUUCUCUUUUGAAGUGACCUAUUUUUAAUUUGAAACAUUUGUUUUGUCUUCUUUCUCUCCCUUUGCUCCUCCCUCUCUCUUUGCCUCUUUUUUCUCCUCCUCUCUCUCUCUGCCUCUCUGUCUCUCUUUCUCUCUCUCUUACUGUCUCUCUCUCUCCCUGACUCCCUCUGUUCCCUCUGUCAGUCCUUUUCUCUCUAAGAUUUUUUUUUUCCACCUUUGAGUCUCCUGGCUUUACUCUCUUGUACCCUUUAUGUUGCCUGGAGGAUGGAGGUCUAGGUUCUUUAUAGGUUCUGGCCCCCUGGAUACUUUGUUAUACGGUUGAAAGCAGAAUUUUUGCCUUCUGCUUUCAUUUUUCUUUAUCUUUUCUUACAUAUACUUUUUGGGCUUCUCUUAGAAGCUCUUCUAUAGGUUUAUCUUUCUAGUUCUCUAUCUUUUGUAAUUUCUUGUUAAUGUCUGGCCAACUGUUAGUGACAAAAUGAAGUCUUAACAUUCCCUGCCCAAGAGGAUCCUCAAGACCUAGACCAGCAUAUUUUCUCAUUUGUUCCUUUAAUUUGUCUAAAAAUUCUAUAGGCCCUUCAUCUUCCCCUUGCUGUACGUCAAAUGUUUGGGUAAGAUUCUGGGUUCGGGGUACUGAUUCUUUAAUGCCCUUUAUUAUCAAUUCCCUAAGGUCUUGCAUAUUUUCUUGGUUGGCUGCAUUGUUAUUGUCCCACCGGGGCUCUUGGGUGGGAAAUUUUUGAUCUGCUGUAGGAAUAUUUUGGCUGGGAGGGUAUUCACAUACCUGACCUCCCAUUGCAGCUCUAUGGAUUAUGCCUCUUUCUUCUCCCAAGAAGAGGGGAAAGGAAAGCUCUGACCAUCCUUUUUACAUUGCUCUGUCUCACAUUGAAGUCCUUUUAGGAAUGGGAACUCAAGCUGGUAGUAAGUGGGCCUUUGGGAUGAUUCCCAAGAGGCAGGGUUAUAAGGAGGGGGACAACAGGGAUAGGAGAAUGUUCUGAAACAGCAGUUGCUUUUUCUUGUUUUUGGUUUUAUCCUUCUAAUAUUUUAAUAUUAGGCCUAGGGGAUUAUUAGGGGGAGUAUUAUUGUUGCUAGCUUUAUCCUUUUUAUCUCUUACCUUACUUGGGGUAUUUCACACCUUGAUGGUUUUGGGGUGAGGCUCAAUUUCCCUUACUGGAAAUUUCUUGCCUUUUGGGGUGAGGCUCAAUUUCUCCUACUGGAAAUUUCUCCCCUUUUGGGGUGAGGCUCAAUCCCCCCAGUGGAGAUUCCUCACUUCUUUUUAACCUCCAGGACACCCUGAGCAAGGAGUACUUCACCACCCCUGCAACUUUUCCUGCCUUGGUAUGUCCCGACCAAGGAAUACUUCACUGCCUCUGCGGCUUUUCUUACCUUGGCCCUGACCACCAAGAAAAUACUUUGCCGCUUUUGCGAUGUUUCUUACCUGGGUCUGUGCACAGAGUUACCUGGUCGCCGUGGUAUGUAAGAAUCCUUUCCCCAAGCUGCCAGCCUGUUUCUUCCUGCAUCGCUGAGAGUCCAGGUUUAUUCAUCACACCAGAUGAUUUUGGUUCUAACAACCAACCCUCAUGGCCUAUUCUUGGAGAACUUCCAUCAGGGUACUUGAGCCAACUUGUACUCACAAAUGCCCAAGAAGUGCCUGGAUGACUGUGAUGGUUAAUUUUCUGUGUGCCGAAGGCAAAGGGAAUACAGAUUUUGUAGUGGAAGAAAUUUCUCUAGGUUCAAAAGAAAGAGGAGUGAAGAGGAGUAAAACACACAUCUAUUAAAAAGCAAGAAGAUUAAAUAAAUUGAAGCUUUUUAUUUCUCUUUCUCUGCCUAAGGACCCAGUGGCUGUCUUGAUGUCUCACAGCAGGAAGAGACUCUCUCAAAUAGGUGUACACAUGGGGAGAGAGAGAGCAAGGAGACUGAGAUACAAUCAGCCACCAGCAAGUUGUCUUGAUUUUCUGAAUGGAGCGUGGUAGCAUGUUAUAGAGUCCAAGGAAUUUGCCAAAUCCGUGUGAGAAGAUUUGCCUCUCACAUGUGAGAGAAUUUUUUGAGAAAAAAAAGAUCCUGACCCCGUCCCUCUGCCACCACCCGAGUGAGGAAGACUGACAGAGCACAUUGGCUUGCUGUGGAGACAAGAUCAGGGAAAGCGCCCCUGAAAAGAAAGCAUUUUGGAAGUCCUGAAGGUGGAGAAGGAGAUUUAGAGGAAGAGUGAUAAAUCAGAAGUCUUCGUCCAAGAAUUAGCUUUGCACCAUCUACAGACCUAAGCAGCUGCAGUCCUGGAACUGUGUGAUAACUUGCCCAGAAAAUCUUCUUGUGGAAUCUGUCUUUACAUGGAAAAGACUUGGCAAUAUUUGUACAGCAACUGGAAGAAAGGUCUUUGCUGAGAUAUACAAAGAGGCAGAAUGUGUGUGGAUCACCGAUUAGACAAGGCGAAUAGGAGCAGAAUAGAAGAGGAAUGGAAUAGAACUCAAGAUGAUAAAACAUACUGUGUCCAGAAUUUAUUCCUUCCAGUGGGCUGUUGGUCUCACUGACUUUAAGAAUGAAGCUGCGGACCCUCGUG